AUGCCUGGAACUCAGAGUCAAUUUUGCCAAGAGUGCGCUGUUCCCCAGCCAACAGAUAUCGUUCCUGGGAACCGUUUUAGACUCAGCCCAAAUAAGGGUGAUAGCUGCGCCAGAACGUGCACUGGACAUUCAGCAGCUCGCAGCCUCAUUCAAAAUUCGGGCCUCUCGCCCUCUCAAAGUGUUUCAGAGGUUGCUGGGCCUCAUGGCCUCUGUGUCUCCAGUACUUCAGUUAGGCCUGCACCGCUGAAACCACGAGUUCUGUCCCACUCCCGGCGUCUCGGACACCUUUGUGUCAGGGUGGACCAGGCCUGUAUAACUGCCCUGGCCCCUUGGAAAGAUCAUCAGUGGAUGGAACGGGGUGUGCCCCUGGGAAUGGUCUGCAGGAGGAAGGUGAUCUCGACAGACACCUCCAACAUGGGUUGGCAAACCAGCUUUCAGCCACUGGACAAAAAAGGAAGGCUGGCUUCACAUCAACUGCCUGGAAAUGCUGGCAAUGUGUCUGGGCCUUCGCACCUUUCUGGCAGACCUAAGGGUAUACUACGAAUUGGUCCGUUCGGACAGCACGACGGUGGUGUCCUAUAUAAAUCGCCAGGGUGGUCUCUCCUCGAAGCGCUUCUUCACACUGUUGGAGCGCCUCUUAGAAUGGGCCCAGCUCAACUUGCGCUCACUGAGAGCAGCUUAUAUACUGGGCAGAUUAAACCCAGGAGCAUAUAUGCUGUCUCGGUGCAACGUUCCCUCCGAGGAGUGGACGCUCCACCCUCAAAAAGUUCAGAAAAUCUGGGAAAUCUUCGGCAGGGCAGAGGUCGACCACUUCGCCUCAGAAGACAACUCUCAUUGGCCAACUUACCACGACUGGCCCAAUCUCCUCCUCUAUGCUUUUCGCCCGAUCGCUCUGAUGCUGCAGGUAACCAGGCAAGUCAGGGAACAGAGACGCAAGGUUCUGUUGGUGGUCCCGCUCUGGAGGAGCCAGCACUGGUUUGCAGAGCUGAACUGGCUGCUUUCGGCAGCCCCGUGGCCCAUUCCCCUGAGACGGGACCUCCUCUCCCAGGCGAACAGAAUGAUAUAGAACCCCCAGCCUGA
rnacentral:lncRNA from 12 species